rnacentral:rRNA from 1 species
GAGUUUGAUCCUGGCUCAGAUUGAACGCUGGCGGCAUGCCUUACACAUGCAAGUCGAACGGCAGCACGGGAGCUUGCUCCUGGUGGCGAGUGGCGAGCGGGUGAGUAAUGCAUCGGAACGUAUCCUGGAGUGGGGGAUAACGUAGCGAAAGUUACGCUAAUACCGCAUAUUCUGUGAGCAGGAAAGCGGGGGACCUUCGGGCCUCGCGCUCUUGGAGCGGCCGAUGUCGGAUUAGCUAGUUGGUGAGGUAAAGGCUCACCAAGGCGACGAUCCGUAGCAGGUCUGAGAGGAUGAUCUGCCACACUGGAACUGAGACACGGUCCAGACUCCUACGGGAGGCAGCAGUGGGGAAUUUUGGACAAUGGGGGCAACCCUGAUCCAGCCAUGCCGCGUGAGUGAAGAAGGCCUGGUUGUAA